rnacentral:lncRNA from 1 species
CUUCCACCUACCAGGCCCACUGUUUCUUCCCCUGCCAAGAAGAAGAAGCCAGCACCUGCUAAGCCCAAGCCUAAGCCUAAGCCCAAGCCCGCUGCCAAGGCCAAGGAUGUCAAGACUGCUAAGUCAAAGGCACCCGUUAAGGCAAAACCUGCUGCCAAGCCUAAGGCCAAGGCUCCAGCCAAACCCAAGCCCGCUGCAAAGCCCAAGGCUGCUCCCAAGCCUAAGGCUGCAGCUGCCAAGCCAAAGGCCACUAAGCCAGCAGCCAAGCCCAAGCCAGCUGCAGCCAAGCCCAAAGCUGCUAAGCCUGUGGCAAAGCCCAAGGCUAAGCCUGUGAAGGCUGCCAGGACUUCUACCAGGACUUCACCAGGGAAGAAAGCCCCUGCCGCAAAGCCCGCGCCGA